rnacentral:rRNA from 1 species
CCUACGUGAGGCAGCAGUGGGGAAUAUUGGACAAUGGGCGAAAGCCUGAUCCAGCCAUGCCGCGUGUGUGAAGAAAGCCUUCGGGUUGUAAAGCACUUUCAGUGGGGAAGAAAGCCUUGGGGCUAAUACCCUCGAGGAAGGACAUCACCCACAGAAGAAGCACCGGCUAACUCCGUGCCAGCAGCCGCGGUAAUACGGAGGGUGCGAGCGUUAAUCGGAAUUACUGGGCGUAAAGCGCGCGUAGGCGGUCUGAUAAGCCGGUUGUGAAAGCCCCGGGCUCAACCUGGGAACGGCAUCCGGAACUGUCAGGCUAGAGUGCAGGAGAGGAAGGUAGAAUUCCCGGUGUAGCGGUGAAAUGCGUAGAGAUCGGGAGGAAUACCAGUGGCGAAGGCGGCCUUCUGGACUGACACUGACGCUGAGGUGCGAAAGCGUGGGUAGCAAACAGGAUUAGAUACCCCAGUAGUC